rfam:Sorghum bicolor cultivar BTx623 chromosome 4, whole genome shotgun sequence.
GAGCAAAGGGGCCAGAUAAGUGGCCAUCUUUGCAUUGAAGGUUGGCGACAACAAAACUGCAGUUCUCCGUGCCGCUCAGAUUUCCCUCUGUUUUGUGACGGCCUCGAACAAGCUGCUACAUU